AUCCUUUUCCAGCUCAUAAGGUGAUGAUUGGGUUCUUAUAUACUUGCAUCAUGUAUGCCUCCCUCAAACUUUGUUAUGACAUGGGCAUAUUAACUGUCUGACA